GACAUAGGUGGCGAACGUUAUCCGGAAUUAUUGGGCGUAAAGGAUGCGUAGAUGGUGUGAUAAGUUAUCAGUGGGAAAUCGGGGCUCAACCUCGUGGAAGUUGGUAAUACUGUCAUGCUUGAGUGCAGGAGAGGUUAACGGAACUCUAUGUGGAGCGGUAAAAUGUGACGAUAUAUGGAAGAACACCAAUAAGGCGAAAGCAGUUAACUAUUCUGUUACUGACAUUGAGGCAUGAAAGCGUGGGGAGCAAAACGG
rnacentral:rRNA from 1 species